GUAGGUGAACCUGCGGAGGGAUCAUUACAAGUGACCCCGGUCUAACCACCGGGAUGUUCAUAACCCUUUGUUGUCCGACUCUGUUGCCUCCGGGGCGACCCUGCCUUCGGGCGGGGGCUCCGGGUGGACACUUCAGACUCUUGCGUAACUUUGCAGUCUGAGUAAAAUUUUAAUAUUUAAAACUUUCAACAACGGAUCUCUUGGCUCUG
rnacentral:misc_RNA from 1 species